UACGUAGGGGGCAAGCGUUGUCCGGAUUCAUUGGGCGUAAAGAGCGUGUAGGCGGCCAGGUAGGUCGGUUGUGAAAACUGGAGGCUCAACCUUCAGAGGUCGACCGAAACCAUCUGGCUAGAGUCCGGGAGAGGAGAGUGGAAUUCCUGGUGUAGCGGUGAAAUGCGCAGAUAUCAAGAAGAACACCCGUGGCGAAAGCGGCUCUCUGGAACGGUACUGACG
rnacentral:rRNA from 1 species